rnacentral:piRNA from 1 species
UAAGAUACAGAUCCUGCCUGGGAC